rnacentral:lncRNA from 1 species
GCCGUGUCGACAGAGAAUCCAAGCCAGAUGGCGAAAGAGGUAUUGUAAAAUGUUGAAUGCUAGCAGGGAGAUGCGCCUGGCUCACGGCUAACUGGUGCUAGCUUCGUGGCAGUGGCGUUAUCCACUAUAGAUCCACUAUAGCCAAUCGGUAGCAGCGGUGAACUGGUGCCAAGGUCCAGAGUUACAGCAAGGAUCCGGUGGAGUAUUGGGCUCUAGCCGUGUAUGAGUGGGGUUCGGGAGAACAGCUGAGUAGGCUGGGAGGUGGGCCUCAGGGAUAGCUUCGGUACUGGAUGCCACGGUGAGUGCAAGCAAAUAAUUACAUCGCAAAGAGUGUUUAACCCUCUACUAUUAAAGUGUAUUGCUCUCUGUUUGAGACUGAUAAUAGGACGUAACACAGGGAUGAGGAGAAAACAAUAAUUUGGAUCCUACACAACACAUUGUUGUUUUACCUAAAUAAUUCCACAAGAGGGCAACAUAUCAACAUUUGUUAACAUUUCUACUGCCUUCAGUCCAUGAAGUCCCCAACUAACUAAAAGUCUGCGUCUGCAAAAAUGCUCUUUUAUCAUAACUCGACAUGAAAGUAGCCAAGCCAAAACCGUCAAUGACAUGCUAUUCGAUAUAUAAAAUGAGCUAUGGUGGAAGAAAAGGUAGUACAGAGAGAUGAUGAUGAUCCCCCGGGGGAGUGGAGGGAGGUUGCUGAGGAAGAACCAGUGGCCCAGCUCAAGAAGGAGCCCAAGAAGACAGGAAAGGCAAUGGCAAGUGAUCUAUAAAGGAUUUAAAAAACCUAUGACAAAGGAACAGCUUGCAAAAUUGUGCAAGACCAUUGUCAACUUCAUUACACAGACCACCCUGCAGAUCCUGCUGCCGGCCCUGGCCCGCAUUCUAGGGGUGACGGGCUUUUAUGACAACGCUGACUCACUCAAGAGGGGCGGCAGUGCAAGAUCCUUCACUGCCUUUGAGCAGAAAAGACUGGAGCUCAUCCAGGAAGUUAAAUAUUUGGCGAAGGAGAUGUGUAACUGUGGCGGCAAGGCUCUCCAACCAAGGUCUAGCACACCCUCUUCCAAGAGUUCCCAGACCUCACUGAAAGCCCACCUGGGAAUGCCAGAGGACAGUAUCAUCAGCAGUGUCCAGGAGCAACUGUCAAAAUCUGACCAAAUGGUGGCUGCAGGACAGCUUUCACAAAUAGAAAAAGUGGUUGGACCUAUGCUGGAGAACAUUGAGAAGAUUAGCAGCGAACGUGGCGAGGAAUUGGUCUAUCAAGAGUCACUACGGUCUUCUUCCUCGUUGUCAUUCUCAACUGCCAAAUCACAGAAGACAGAGUGGGAAUUUGCACUCCCUGGCACUCCCAUUCCUUCUGAGUUACCCGAGAGUACUGCUCAGCCCAUUGUAAGAUGCUCAGUCAUUGACUUGAGCGAAUCUACUAAGCCAAAAACAAUGGUGUGUGAUGCCAGAACAAGCAUGUUUGCCAUAGCCGAUACCAUCAUGAAGAAGGUAUAUCCAGAGGCAGAAGGGCAGGUUACAUCUCACCCUGAUCUAACAGAUGCAAUAGCUAGACUGGAGGAGCUCAUAUAUCAGGGUAGGAUUGGUGCUCUCUCCCGUGAUCUCAGUCACCAAGUGAACCGCAUAAUUUCCGAUAGCAACUUGACCCCUCUGGGACUGACAGUGGUGGCUGGAAAGAGUGCAUCUGAUACCAUCCUUUCGAAGCUGAAGAGGAAUGACAAGGUGUGGAAGCCCACAACUUACGAGCUGGUUCAGCUGUUUGUAGAGGAGUCUGUUAAGUGCCUCCUGCUUCCUAGUUUUAUGCCCUAUUCAACUUCAAUGAGUUUGGCUCAGGGGGCCAAGGUGUUGGCUAGAGUGUCUGAAGAUAGAAUUUCAUGCUCUUCUUCUUCAUCAGUAUUUAGUGACACAGUCAGUCUCUUUACCAAAGUUAUGGUAAGCCAGGUCAUGUACUCUGUGGAUUCUGAUGCAGAAAGUAGAGGAUCCUCUCCAACUGAAUCUCUCCAAACAUCUGAAACCACUAUAUCUGAUGUAGGCAAUCUAUUGAGUGGCAAGUCCUCCCCUGGGCUGUCUCCUUCUGGCGCCAUUAUGGCAACAAGCGAGACCUCCAAUGCAGCACAAAUCUUGAAGGCCAACAUUGAUGGAGAGGAAGUGGAUACCACCAGUCAUUCUGGUGUAGCUCAAAACAUUGUCAGGGACGAUACCCAAGAAGACUCGAGGCUGUAAUCGCUGCCAAAGGUGCUUCAACAAAGUACUGAGUAAAGGGUCUGAAUA